UGCCCUAGUAACGGCGAGUGAAGCGGCAACAGCUCAAAUUUGAAAUCUGGCUCUUUCAGGGUCCGAGUUGUAAUUUGCAGAGGGCGCUUUGGUGUUGGCAGCGGUCCAAGUUCCUUGGAACAGGACGUCACAGAGGGUGAGAAUCCCGUACGUGGUCGCUAGCCUUCGCCGUGUAAAGCCCCUUCGACGAGUCGAGUUGUUUGGGAAUGCAGCUCUAAAUGGGAGGUAAAUUUCUUCUAAAGCUAAAUACUGGCCAGAGACCGAUAGCGCACAAGUAGAGUGAUCGAAAGAUGAAAAGCACUUUGGAAAGAGAGUCAAAUAGCACGUGAAAUUGUUGAAAGGGAAGCGCUUGCAGCCAGACUUGCCUGUAGUUGCUUAUCCGGACUUUUGUCCGGUGCACUCUUCUGCGGGCAGGCCAGCAUCAGUUUGGGCGGUUGGAUAAAGGUCUCUGUCAUGUACCUCUCUUCGGGGAGAACUUAUAGGGGAGGCGACAUGCAACCAGCCUGGACUGAGGUCCGCGCAUCUGCUAGGAUGCUGGCGUAAUGGCUGUAAGCGGCCCGUCUUGAAACACGGACCAAGGAGUCUAACAUCUAUGCGAGUGUUUGGGUGUCAAGCCCAAGCGCGUAAUGAAAGUGAACGGAGGUGGGAACCCUUUGGGUGCACCAUCGACCGAUCCUGAUGUCUUCGGAUGGAUUUGAGUAAGAGCAUGGCUGUUGGGACCCGAAAGAUGGUGAACUAUGCUUGAAUAGGGUGAAGCCAGAGGAAACUCUGGUGGAGGCUCGCAGCGGUUCUGACGUGCAAAUCGAUCGUCAAAUUUGGGCAUAGGGGCGAAAGACUAAUCG
rnacentral:rRNA from 1 species